UGUCAAUCCAAAAAUAUUGGUGUUUAAAAAUCUCUAUCGGUCAAGUUUAUGUCUCUCCUUCUCUGUCUAUCUCUCUCCCUUUGUGUGUGUAUGUGUGUGUAUGUGUGUGUGUGUGUGUGUGUGUGUGUGCUUUGACGAGGUGGAGACAGGAGCCCUAACGCUGCAGGAUGGAGAAAGGUGAACAGGAAACAGAAGGUGCCCAUGGAGGAGGUAUAUGACAUCUGUCAGGAUCCAGGGGUCCUGGAUGGAGGAAGGUCACCUGACAUGGCAAGGUCGACAAACAAACAAACAAACAGAAGGAAUUAAAAACAGAGAAAAACAGAGCAGAUGAAACGUGGCGGUGUGUUUUUAUCGCUGUGAGGCUGAUGGCAUGUAGCAGCCAUUACUCUCUGUUGUGUCCUCUGCCCCCCAUUGGCUGCAACAACACCGCCUGGCGGGGCUGCCAUUGUCACGUUAUCUCAUGCUUCUGCUCAACUCAUGGACAAGGGCCACUUCACACCAGGAUGGGUUUACUGUUUCUUGCCACUCAGGUAGCUGUGUUUUCUCAAGGCGGCAAAGGUCAUUCACACUUGAUUUGACAAAAAUAAUUUUUCCUAAGCCAGCGUGAGUUCAAAUUAUAGAUCUUGUUGUUUUGAUUAUCUUUAUGGACGGAAAAGGUAAAAGAAAAAUCCCCACAAAAAGUUCAAUUCACAAUAGCUUGGUUAUUUAUUUUUUUCCAUUCUAUGGUAAUUCUUUCAGAUUAUCAGGCCAAUUGGAGCAUCCCCAAUGUUCUCUCUGAAUUGAUUAUGACCUUUUUUAAUUUAUCAAAUAAACCAAAUAAUAUAUAUAUAUAUAUAUAUACAGUAUAUAGUCAGUGUUUAAUGUAUUGUCAAUUUUAGAUGUACGACUAUUGAUUAAUAUGGAGAAAAUAAGACUCUCUCUACACCUUCAGGGCAAACAAAAAAAAAUAUCAUUAAAUACUUGCAUUAUACAAAAAUGAGCAGAGCCUUAAUUUCUCCAUAUUUAAUUUUAUUGCAGUCUUACACCUUAGUAUUGUGUUGUGAGUGUGGCGCUCUUCUCAAAAGAUGCAGGGAUUUGAAAGGACAGCCUUGCUUAGAAUAUUAUUACCUGUCUGUACAAUUUCAUUUAUAUAAAGACACUUGUGAAGCAAGUGAAAAUUUUGUUAUUGCUGGGGCUGAAUGAAUUGAUAACCCCUACUUAUAAUUGUGCAAGAUUAAUAUAAUUGUUUUAUUAUUUAGACAUCAUACUAAAUAGCCAGUAGAGCCCCGUUUGUCAAGGCUCUGGAUACGUUUGGCUCAGGCUGCUGCAGGUGAAGCCUUGGCCUCACCCUCACAGAUCUGUAUGCAGAGUGUGCCUUUAAAAAAACAUGUUUCUUUUGUUUAUUCUUUGCGUUGUCUUUUCCUGUCUGUGUAGAGUUUUGACAUUGGAGAUGACAGGUGUCUGUGGGGUGGAGGAGGAGGAGGAGGAGGAGGAGAUGCUGGUAAGAAAACAAUCUUUGACUGCCUGUGGGUGAAGGCAGACUCCUCUAGGCAAGGCGGCCUUCAGCGUUUAGCUGGGGGCGCAGUAUCAAAAUCACAGCCACUGCUGUACCCCUAAGGCGCUAAUCUCAACCAGUUACCGUCAAGUGCUGCUUCUUCUUUAUAUAAUCCUUCAUUCCCCCCUUUCCCUCUGCUCUCUCCAUCUCUGCCAUUCCUCCACUGAUCCAGACCCAAUCCACAGAGGUGAGUAGAUAAAUGACAGUUAGAGAAGGUGCAGGGGAAGCCAGGCAUCUUGAAUCCAGCAUUGUUUCUUUGCUUACCAGGGUAAAAAAACAAAAACAAAUCCAAACUGUAGUCCUUUCACAAAACACUUUGCUGGAAUUGUAAUAUCAUAAUUAGCAGGGCUUCUGUGCUCAUCUGUACCAAACUAGGCAUCUCACCAGAUGCUGAGGAGACCUCUGCCGUCACUCAGUCGGCUAAAUGGAGAAGGGUUGUUGUUUGAUCACUGGAUGACUGCUAAUUUAAUAAGUGUUAACUAUGGAGCAGCCGAGCGAGGGAAAGAGGGAAAAAUGAGGGAAAAUGUAGGAGUAAAAAGCAUUAAGAUUAACUGAUGACAUGUUCAACUGUGCGCAUAAUAUGAGGCUUAGUUAAGUACGCACAUGCUGUUUGUCAAUUAUUUAAAACCCCAGGAAAUUAAGUCCAGGUAAUCUCAUACGGUGUAAAUAACAUUCUUUUUCAUGGCAGCUUAAUUGAAUUCAUUUGACGCUAUUUAGAAAUAACAGAAUUAGAUUUGCUCUCACAUGCAACCAAGGACUGUCAAGAGGCGUUCUUUGUAAAUGUGAAAAGAAGAGGCAUUAAACUUAGUUAAGUCAAACAGAUCUGAAGGGAUCAGAUAGAAAUAUAGCAUUCCCCAUGCCUUCACGCAGAGCUCUGGUUCCUGCAUUUUGAACAAGACCUGUACUCAAGUCCAUUCCAAAACUCAUUCAGUUGUUGCAGCGAUGAAAAUGUCAGCCAAAUGCCUCAAAAGUAAAGGCAAAGAUUUCGACAUAAAUUGGUGAUGUCAACCAAUUUGAAUAUAAAAGUUGAAAUCGGGACAAACAUAUUGCCAGUUUCAUUUCAAAACUGUUUUCAAAACUGUUGUAAUCUGUAGAAUGGUGCAAUAAAGAUCUCUUGCACAUCA